GUCUCACUGACUUCAAGAAUGAACCUGUGGACCCUCACGCCCCCACCCUGCAUCCUGUAAGGAUAAGAUGCUUGGAGCAGUAGCUACCACCUUGCAGCUGGAGGAGAACGCCAGGAGAAUUUUAGAGUGCCACCUCAUACUGAGAUUCUCCUUCCUCCAACUUCUUAUUAUAGGAGGGCCAUAUGGGAGGAACUGUGGGUCAUCUCAAGGACCUGAAGGGGACCUCCAGCUGAAAGCCAGUAAGAAGUUGGGGCCUCAGUCAUACAGCUGCAAGGAAAUGAAUUUUUCCAACAACCUGGAUGAGCUUGGAAACAGAUUCUACCCCAGUCAAGUACUCAGGUUUCUACAGCAAUGUUAUCUUGAAUGGUUUGUCAACAUGUUUCACUGAGAAAACUUAAAGCAACUCUGAUUUCACUCUUCAUGAUGGAUGUGAAAGACAGUAAAGUAUGCUAGUUAAAACCCAGCCUCUGGAGACAGACUGAUGUGGGAUCCUAGAAAAGUCGUCUGCACAGAGCAGGGCAUGGCCUGCAUUCCAAAUUUUGUUAUUCUCAAAGGUCAGUUGUUCUCAGUGGCAGACAACAGAAGCCAAGACUUGCUAAGUAAAACAGAAGACAAAUUUGCUGGAAGGACAUGUGAAAAUGGGCACAAAUUAGGAAGCAAGGUCAUACUUGCAUCACUGCUGUUAGGCUGCUACCACUGACUCCUCUGCUCCUGCACUCCCAAAAGCACCAUCAAGAAAAACCCCACACACAGUUCCUUCAUCUUUGCCUUACUUGCUGAAGAUUAGAAGUCCCAGGGAAUCCAACCUUAUUUUAUCUUUGAAAAUAUCCUGAAGUGCCAAAUAAACCAACAGUCUGAAGCGGGGGAAGACUCUAGCCCCAGCAAUACCUGCGACUACUAAUGAAAAAGACUUGACGGACUGAAACUGCCCGAGAUUUCUCACAUAAUGUCAUCAUUACGUGGAUGUGCUUCAGUGCUCUGAAAUAAUGGCACUUUAAUCUCAAGUCCACCUGCCACCAUCUGAAAAGGGGGGAAAAAAGCCAAAGAUAUAAAAUACUGAAGAAAGGAUACUGGAUGGCAUGCAGAAUCUUUGGAAGAACAACCAGAUUGCCAGGCAACACAGCUAGAAAAGUGCCCCAAAUCUCACCACAGAACAGAUUUAAUGAAAAUCGCACUUCUGCACUGCUGGGCCAUUAUUACUAUGACCACCGAGAAUGCUGCCUCUAAAGAGUGGAUGGACCUGCUCUCACUGCCCUGCUGCUUCCUGUCCCUAGA
rnacentral:lncRNA from 1 species